CCUACGGGAGGCAGCAGUGAGGAAUAUUGGUCAAUGGACGAGAGUCUGAACCAGCCAAGUAGCGUGAAGGAUGACUGCCCUAUGGGUUGUAAACUUCUUUUAUAUGGGAAUAAAAUUAUCCACGUGUGGGUUUUUGUAUGUACCAUAUGAAUAAGGAUCGGCUAACUCCGUGCCAGCAGCCGCGGUAAUACGGAGGAUCCGAGCGUUAUCCGGAUUUAUUGGGUUUAAAGGGAGCGUAGGUUGAUUGUUAAGUCAGUUGUGAAAGUUUGCGGCUCAACCGUAAAAUUGCAGUUGAAACUGGCAGUCUUGAGUACAGUUGAGGUAGGCGGAAUUCGUGGUGUAGCGGUGAAAUGCUUAGAUAUCACGAAGAACUCCGAUUGCGAAGGCAGCUUACUAAACUGCAACUGACACUGAGGCUCGAAAGUGUGGGUAUCAAACAGGAUUAGAUACCCGGGUAGUC
rnacentral:rRNA from 1 species